UUUCCAUGGAGACAGUAAACAAACCUAGGCUCCACCCUGUAACCAAGAAUGACAAUGCCAGAUACUCGCCGGGAGGAACUGGACCUUAAGAAAAGGGACCCCCUUCCAAAAAAAGGAAGUACACGUGGGGGCAGGGCGUUGGCCUGGGGUUCAGGACAUGGGGACCUGGGGCUCCACUGAGAGGCGCUGCAGUCCUCAGGAAGGGGCAACACCUCCUGGGAGACCCAAGAAUCCGGCUCCAGAGAGAAGCAGGUGGAGCCCAGACCUGCAGAUUGGAGGAGGGCCUGGCCAAAACGCAGCUCCCGGCGGAGAGUGUGAACAAAGCCUGAGAACAGAUCGGAACAGGGAUCAGCCGGUGCGUUCCCGUGCAGACACUAUUAAUACAUUUUCAGAAAGGAGCGACCAUGAAGGAAGUGGAACCAUGAGCAAAAGAGAAAAAGAAACUUCUAAGUGCUGCCUUGGAGAAACAGAAAUAGUCUUGCUGCGGAGGUGUGGCCGGGGCACAAAUCCUCCUGUUGCUCCUCGUGCUGAAGGACUUGACUAGAAGAGAACCAGAUCCCUGGUUCCGCUACUGCCUUCCCUGGGAGCUGCGACUGGCAUUCACAGGCAUUGCUCCCUAAAACCCCUGGGGAGAUUCAAGCUGAAGAGUGCCUACAGUCAGAGUGUAUUGACCUAUCUUUCUAAGGCUUUAUGAACAGUGGUAGCACUGUGAGUAUCUGCACGGCACAUUUCAGAAAAAUGUCCUGUUCGUUUAAUCAUCUUUAUUAAAAUUUUGCAGUUAAGCUUG